UCCGAUAUGGUGUAACGGCUAACAUUGCCGCCUUUCAUGCGAUCGCGGCAGCUCGGGGUUCGAUUCCCCGUGUCGGAA
rfam:Pleurotus ostreatus PC15 unplaced genomic scaffold scaffold_05, whole genome shotgun sequence.